AAAAAUUUAGUUAACCCAAUAACAUUAACUUGUCAUGUUAAAAUGACCGAAAGUCGGUAAUUUUUG
rnacentral:tRNA from 1 species